CUCCCCCAAAAAAUAAAAAAGCAAAUUAAGGCCAGGCCUUCUACACAAAUUGGAGGCAGCUAAAUGCUCUUUUGUGCCUGCAGCUCUAAGGAGGCUGUGAUGCAUGCGAAGGAAAGUGACUGACUUAACUCAUUGGGAUUCAGGGAACGACCUGCCCUCUUUUGAAAAAAAAAAAAAAAAAAAAAAGGAAGAAGAAGGAAAGUAAGUGUGUAUGUGUGUGUGUGCGUGUUCAUGUGUCUGUGUGUGUGAGAGAGAGAGAGGAGGGGGAGACUCACACAGUCCUGCUUUCCUGUGCUGAGAGCUACUGGUUCCCAAGCAGAAAGUAUGAAGAAAAACCCAGCAUCUUGUCUCUUCGCUGCAUUUACACAAUGAAAUCACUCUUAUUUUCAUUCCUGCUAACAGGCCGGUUUUGCCUGCAUCCACUUCGAGCCACGGACGAUGGGAACAAAAAAGUACUUAAAAAAAAAAAGCAGACAAAAAAAUACAUAUAUGAAAAGAAAGAAAAAGAAAAAAGAAAAGGAAAAUAAAAAACACGCUGGGGUGAGGAUUGCUCACUUUAGCGCUGGCUGGACCCGGCCGGGCGGCGCUGGGCUGGGAUUGUGCCGGGUUUCAAGGACACGGGAGAUGAUCAGGACUUUGGGAGCCAACAUCUGCCUGGCUGGUGACGUCAGCAACCCCGUGUAAUCCUCUUGUACGGAAGGCAGAUGCCUUAUUUGUUUGGCUGGAGAGGCAUUAAUCCCUAAUUCUGGAGCAGCAAGCGAGGCUGAGAGACCGGACCGCUUCCUACCCCCCAAAAGCAGCUAACAGGGCUCUCCUCGCUGCGCUCCGUAGCUCCGGCUGGGUGGAGGAGCCGCCAGCCCUCGGCAGGCGGCCGCAGGCAAGAGCUGCGGUGCCGGGAGGGGCCGGAGCCCCCUGACCAGCUUGCCUCAGGAUGCCCCGGCAAGCCACGGGAGAAGUCCCCAGGAAGGCCAGCUCUUCGCCGGAACCCGGCAGCCGCCGCUGCGCACCCUGCUUUGCCUCCUCUCUCUCUCCCGGCCCCUGGGGCAGAGACAGCAGUCGAGGUCAGCCCGCCCGUUUCCCAGGGUCUGGCCGGGGUUCAGCCCUAGGGCGAUGCAUGGUGCAUGGCCGCUCCGCUCCUCUACUCUGUGCCAUAGGCACCGAAAAGGAAUGGUCCCCGUCCUGAGCCGUGAAAGAUGGCAGUAGGCGUAGUAACAAUUUAAAAAAAAAAAAAAAAAAAAAAGGUCAGGAUGAUUUUUUUUAUUAUUAUUAUGAUUAUUGUAAUGACUUCACCCCUCAUUUCCUCACUUGCCCCAUUCAGUGCAGGCCAGAUGGGCUGCCCAGACCCUCCCGGGAAAGGGGCAGGUGCGAGUGAGCUGAAUUUUUUUCCGCUUUACAAAGAAAGAUGACACGUCCUGCCCUUUCAUUUUUCACCGCCGAAAGACCCCUUCUGCCCCUUGCUCCCCCCCCGGCCGAGAGGAGCUGCGAUGCUCUGGGGGUGCGGGCUCCCCCCGCCCGCCAUCCGGCGGAGCCGCAGGACUGGGGCAGCCGGAAAGACACAGUCCCUCCCAGCCAGGGAUGCCAAAUCACAGACGUCGAGUCGGGGAGAGCCAACUCCUGCCUUUAAAAUCACGCGAAGACGCUGGCGAAAUUAAAGUAGUCUCCUGGAACUGUGCAAUAGGCACAAGCUUAACUUCUUCCUCUCUUUUUAAUUUCUUUUAAAAAAAUCAAUUAAAUUCAUAUUUAACAGCUUCCUGGGCAUUGCAAACAACAGACGGGCUAGUAAGAAAACUCAAGCAGGAAUUACAUGCAGCCCAGGCCAGGCUGGGACUAGGGCGGAGGCAAAUUACCGUUUUUUUUUCGGGGAUCAGUUGCUAUUCUGCU